AUUAAAUAUUAUUCUAUUUCAAAAACAAAUCUUAACUCUUGAAAACUGGCACUGCAGCAAAAUUGACGUCACUUCUCCGCCCCAUGUGAAGGGAGAGUGGACGGCUGUUAUGUGAUUUUAGUUUGUGAUAUAGAAACAUGAUAAUCAAAGAAUUUCGUGUAGUUCUUCCCAUUACAGUGGAAGAGUACCAAGUUGGGCAGUUAUAUUCUGUAGCUGAAGCCAGUAAAAAUGAAACUGGUGGUGGAGAAGGAAUUGAGGUGCUCAAGAAUGAACCUUUUGAAAAUGUACCCUUGUUGGGGGGCAAAUUCAAUAAAGGCCAAUAUACUUACAAGAUUUACCAUUUAGCCAGUAAAGUCCCUGCAUUUAUUAGACUUCUGGCACCAAAAGGAUCCCUUGAAAUUCAUGAAGAAGCAUGGAAUGCAUACCCUUAUUGUAAAACAGUCAUAACUAAUCCAGAUUACAUGAAAAAUAAUUUUUUUAUUAGCAUUGAAACAAUGCAUUGUCCAGAUGCUGGUGAUCAAGUUAAUGCCCAUGAAUUGCCCCCAGAGAAACUUAAACAUCGAGAAGUAGUAUUUAUUGACAUUGCAAAUGACUCAGUUGAAAGUAGGGACUAUAAGCCAACUGAAGAUCCCACAAAGUUUAAAUCUGAAAAAACAGGAAGAGGUCCAUUAGUAGGAAAUUGGCAAAAAACUUCUUCUCCUAUAAUGUGUGCCUAUAAGUUAGUCACUGUAGAAUUUAAGUGGUUUGGCUUACAAAAUCGAGUGGAAUCAUUUAUUCAAAAGACAGAACGACGAAUUUUUCUGAACUUCCAUCGGCAAGUAUUUUGUUGGUUAGACAGAUGGCAUGGAAUGACUAUGAAAGAUAUUAGAGAAAUUGAAGAUAGAACUAAAAAAGAAUUAGAUGAACAACGCAACAAAGGAACUGUUAGAGGCACUCAAGGUGAGGAAUGACUUCAAGUGGUAACAUUAAAUCAAGCAUAUCUGUUCCAAAUCACCUAUAAAUUUGACCUGAGCUGGUGUAGUCAUUCAUUCAUCCACUUUUGUUUAGUUUAAAUGACUAUGAUCCGCCCAAAGCUAGUAUGUACAUCAAGUAGAGACCUAUGUGAAGUUAGGUAAUUAUGAAACCAGACGUCUAUUCGAAGCGAAGCACACAGUUGAGUUCAUACUAUUUUGGACAUAUUGAAUUAUAUGUUUCGUAUUUUUUAAGUGAAAGGUUAUUUUUUUACACAAUUCUGUGAUUCUCUCUAAAUGAGUGAAUCAUUGUUUAUUUAAAUUUUCUAACUGUAUUUUUAUAAUUUUUGUAAUCAACAUAAAAGUUAUGGACAUUCCAUCUCUGUUUCGAUAUGUUUUGUUUUAUUAAUGGAGUGACUUUUUUUCAUUGUUACGUUUUACAAAUAUUUAUGUGCUGUGCGGAAGUUGGAUCCAUUUGAUGUUUAGUGAUUCUUUAGAAGAUCAUUGAAUUAUUUAUAAGUGUGAUUUCGAGAGAUAUUAUUGUAGUAUACGUAGAUAAAUGUUAAUUUAUUACUGUCCUGUGUAUGUUAUUAAUUUAUCGGUGAUAUUUAAUUAAAAUAUAUUUGUAAAUAUGCUUUUUUUUAAAAAAAAAUUAACCUGCUUACUAGCAUGUUAUUUGGAUUUAACUAAAUUUAGUCUAGUCAUUUUAAAGUAAAAUUACUAUUUUAUUUUAAAUUGAUACAUCUAGUUAAAAUGAAUUACCAAAGAAGUUUUAGUGGUGCAUUCUCACUUUUUACCUUCAUUCUGUUAGUAUUUAUUUUGAGUUUUACACUUAAGAUAAAUUAGUUUUUAAAUGAAAGAAGAAAACAUGUUAAGCCACAUUUUUAAGAUUGUCUAAUAUCAGACUGCAAUUCUUGAAUUAGGCAGUUUUAAAAGAUUUUGUAAACGGGUUCAAAAAAAAAAAAUAAUAUCUGGACUUCAUUUAAAAAAGAAAAAGCUUAAGCUCUGUUGGUUUCUUCUAGUUUUGAGUUUAAAAUUAACUUUUUUACUAAAAACAAAUUUAUCUAAGAAGUUUUAUUUAUAAAUUAAAAUGUGGGAUUUCUUUCAAUCGAAACAGAAAAACUUAUCAUACCCCAUGCCUCAUUAUACUAAUACAAAAAUAUACAAUCAUAGUUUAACGUGUAAAUCUACAAUCUUUGUUUUUGGUGAUUUAGGAGGGUACUAAAAAAGUGGCACAUUAUUUGUGAAUUAACUUUAACACUAGUUCUAAUUUUAAAAAAAAAAUUAAGUUAUCCAAAUCAGAAUAAGGAAUAAUCAAAUGAACAAUAAAUAAAGGAAAUGUAAAAUUGUACUGAAUUUUGAUGGGUUUAAUCAAUUAAGUUUAUCAGUCAUUAAAUCUCAUCAUUCUAAACUAUAGUUAGCAUCAAAAUACUAUAUAUUAUAUCAGUAUUAUAGAAAGUUCGGACACUUAGAUUUUAUAAUUAUUCAUUUGUAUAAUCAUUUUUAAUUCAUUUGCAUUAUUUAGCAUAAUCAAACUUUUUUUAAUUUUUCUACAUUUAUAGGUUUUUGAUAAAUUUUCGAUUUGCCCAAUGAAUUUGUCGAAACAGGUAGCCAUUUAAAAUCUCUUGUUUUUUUUUUUGUUUUUUUUGGAGGGAUGUGUUAGCUUGGAUAUUUUGGUUACCAGAUAGUGAACCCUAUUUUGUUAUAAGCUCCUAGGUAUUUCUAUACUCUCUAGCACUAAUUUAUUCAAAUACAUUUUAUGUGACUUAACAUGUUGAUUCACUUAAGUACUCAACGAUUUGCUAUAUAUUUCUGUUGGUUA